rnacentral:rRNA from 1 species
AGUGCUUGCACUAAAUGAAACUAGAUACAAGCGAGCGGCGGACGGGUGAGUAACACGUGGGUAACCUGCCCAAGAGACUGGGAUAACACCUGGAAACAGAUGCUAAUACCGGAUAACAACACUAGACGCAUGUCUAGAGUUUGAAAGAUGGUUCUGCUAUCACUCUUGGAUGGACCUGCGGUGCAUUAGCUAGUUGGUAAGGUAACGGCUUACCAAGGCAAUGAUGCAUAGCCGAGUUGAGAGACUGAUCGGCCACAUUGGGACUGAGACACGGCCCAAACUCCUACGGGAGGCAGCAGUAGGGAAUCUUCCACAAUGGACGAAAGUCUGAUGGAGCAACGCCGCGUGAGUGAAGAAGGGUUUCGGCUCGUAAAGCUCUGUUGGUAGUGAAGAAAGAUAGAGGUAGUAACUGGCCUUUAUUUGACGGUAAUUACUUAGAAAGUCACGGCUAACUACGUGCCAGCAGCCGCGGUAAUACGUAGGUGGCAAGCGUUGUCCGGAUUUAUUGGGCGUAAAGCGAGUGCAGGCGGUUCAAUAAGUCUGAUGUGAAAGCCUUCGGCUCAACCGGAGAAUUGCAUCAGAAACUGUUGAACUUGAGUGCAGAAGAGGAGAGUGGAACUCCAUGUGUAGCGGUGGAAUGCGUAGAUAUAUGGAAGAACACCAGUGGCGAAGGCGGCUCUCUGGUCUGCAACUGACGCUGAGGCUCGAAAGCAUGGGUAGCGAACAGGAUUAGAUACCCUGGUAGUCCAUGCCGUAAACGAUGAGUGCUAAGUGUUGGGAGGUUUCCGCCUCUCAGUGCUGCAGCUAACGCAUUAAGCACUCCGCCUGGGGAGUACGACCGCAAGGUUGA